rnacentral:rRNA from 1 species
UACGAGGGGGGCGAGCGUUGUUCGGAAUUAUUGGGCGUAAAGGGUGCGUAGGCGGCCUGACAAGUCUGAUGUGAAAUCCCUGGGCUCAACCCAGGGCCUGCAUCGGAAACUGUCGGGCUUGAAUAUGGAAGAGGGUCGCGGAAUUCCCGGUGUAGCGGUGAAAUGCGCAGAUAUCGGGAGGAACACCGGUGGCGAAGGCGGUUCUCUGGGCCUUACCUGACACUGAGGAGCGAAAGCGUGGGGAGCGAACAGG